rnacentral:rRNA from 1 species
CUUUAACGGCCGCAGUACUCUGACUGUGCUAAGGUAGCAUAAUAAUUUGUCUUUUAAUUGAAGACUGGUAUGAAAGGCAUCAUGGAAAUAAGCUGUCUUAAGGGAACCGUGCAAAAUUUACUUAAAAGGUGAAAAUUCCUUUAUUUUGUUAAUAAGACGAGAAGACCCUUAGAAUUAUUACAAUACUUGCUACCAAGGAAAGUUUUUGUUGGGGCAACAUUAUCAAAGAGUAAACUGAUGAUUAUUAAAUGGAGGACAAAAUCAUUAUAUUUAAUAGGGACUUAAUUACCUAAGGGAUAACAGCAUAAUUCGUAUACGAGAGUAUGACCUCGAUGUUGGACUAGGGACUUUUUUCGCUAGACGUGAGAAAAGAUUGUUCUGUUCGAACAAAUAUACCCUACGUGAUCUGAG